AUGAGCCAGCCUCCCCUGUGGGAGAGGGUGAGAGAGGAGCAGAUGCCAGGAGCCCCCACUUCACACUGCCUCCCCAGCUCUUCUCCCAUCCUGCCCCGUCCUCCUGUCCGUGCGGACCCUUCCCCCUCGGUGCGUGGAGCGCGAUCCUCUCAGGGUGCCCCCACUCUUUCCUUCCGCCUUCAGCUGAUGUUUACCUCCCACAGUAACGCCCAUUCCACCCUUCCGUCCGUCCUGGAGAAUUCCAGCUUCAUCACAUCGGAGGGAGAGAAUCUGAUUGCUUUUGGGGGGCAAAGAAGGCGACGUUUAGAUCUACUGUCUGCACUGUUUUCUUUGCAUGACUUUAUAUGCAGUAAGUAUGUUCANNNNNNNNNNNNNNNNNNNNNNNNNNNNNNNNNNNNNNNNNNNNNNNNNNNNNNNNNNNNAGAAAAACACUCAGCAAAACCAAUCUACAUGUUUUGGACAAAAAAAAAAAAUAGAGGUUGUAUUCUCAGUGUCCGACUCGGAAUUAUGUUGCCGCCUCUCUGUGCUUUUUGGCCUCUGUGUGGCCGUGUUGCCAGCAUGAGAUACUGUCCCCUCUGGAGGAUUUUAGGGGAGGAAGAGCCGCAUCCCCAGGGAUUUGGAGGAGGUUCUGGUUCCCCAGAACCUCUGGGGAGCCCUGGGUGUUGGCUGGAGGACUGGUGGGGAUGUUCGAUCCAGGACUUUCUGAGUUUUCCCUGAUCAUGAGAGGUCUGCUGGGCCCUUUUCUCAACAGCUGCUGUCCUGGGGACAGGCGAGGCAGGCUGGGCUGGGGCUGCAGGCCAGGAAAGAGGCUGCCUGGGCUUCCUGCUCUCCAAAUUGGUUGAUCGCUGGCCUCUAUCCUUGGCAGACACCCUGCUGCCGAGGCCCAGGGGGCAGGCACUUGGCCCGCCCCAGGUCCAGAGGGCUUCCCAGUAAGGCCCAGUGAUCCCAGAGUCCCAGCGGCAAAACCGCCUGCCUCCCUCGUGAGCUGCCGGCUCACACAGCAACCCCCAAGCCCCAGGUGAGGGUGCGGCCUUCACAGGGGAUGCUGCAUUACCAAGACCAAGUCUGGUCCCUUUCUCAGCCUCAGUUUCCCCAUCAGUUAAAGGGUUAAAUAUUCCCGCCCAGUCUAUGUUGCAGGGCUGAUGGGGGAUCCAACAGGACGGUGAAGUGAAGCCCAAUAUACCUGUGAGAACUGACAGGGUUAGUCACUGGCUGGACUCCUGCUUCGUUCUGGGACUGGCCAGCCCCCCUCCAUGCCCCCACCUGCCCCUCAUUCCCCUCUUUGGUGCCUGUCAACUGCUUAUCAGCAGUGGACUGCGGGGAAAGAGCCAUGCUUUGGGGGUUAGUAGGAUUCCAUUCCCAGUCCUGACCAGACUUGCUGUGUGACCUCGGGCAAGUCCUUUCCCUGCUCUGGCCCUGGGUUUCUCCACCAGGCGGAACUGAGCUGAAGGACCCCAAUGUCCUGAUUCUUAUUUGCUGACAUGCUUCAUGCCUCCUAUCCACUGUGUCCCAUUCCAAGUGCCAGAGAAAUGGAGGCAGGGCCCCACCCCAGGAGGAAACGGCCCCCACGAGGAAGGCCACUCCUGUGGGUGGGUAGUCAGCCAGUGUGGAGCACAGGCGUGACCCCGAAGCAGCACGCAGGGGAGGCUGGCCGACAAGCGGCCCGGAGCCCACCCCUACCAGACAGUGAGACUCUGUUCCUCUAGAACAUUCUGUAGAUGCAAAAAAAAUCCAGACCUAAGACCAGACCUGGGCUCCAGCAUGCAAACACCUCUGUAGGAAAGCAUUCCCCCAGGACCGUGCGCACCGUGGCGCUGGUCCUGGCCUCCUGUCUUCCAAGGGGAGACCCUUUGGGGGAUGUGUUUGUCAGACUCCCCGUGCUGGUUUCUCUGUUACUAUUUGUUUGGGGAUUUGUUUCAGUUCUUUUCUUUUCUUUCUUUCUUUUUCUUUCUUCUUCUUCUUCUUUUUUUUUUUUUAAAUCANNNNUUUUAAAUAUGUGGCUGUGAACUUGAAUGACCACUGCUCAAAACUUCUGCUAUUGGGUGGGAGGGGGGAAGAAGGGGUGUCUGUUUUACUGGUGUUUUCAGUGCAAUAAAUAGCUACCAACUUCUGCGCA
ensembl:lncRNA